GUGUGUACGUGGCAGCCAGUUAAAGAAAAACGAAGGUGGUAAACGGUAGCUGCAUUAAAUGUGGUUAAAGGUUGCAUAGGUGUGCAGGUAAGCCAGUGGUGAAAUCCCCGAUCUUAACCUCGGAACUGACAUUGAUACUAUCUUACUUGAAUACUGUUUAGAUAAACAGAAAAUGUCAUGUAGCGGUGAAAUGCUUAAAUAUGACAUAGAACACCAAUUGCGAUAGCAGCUUGCUAUACAAAUAUUGACACUGAGGCACGAAAGCGUGGGGAUCAAAUAGGAAUAGAUACCCGAGUAAUC
rnacentral:rRNA from 1 species